AACAAACGCUGGCGGCGUGCCUAAUACAUGCAAGUCGAACGGGGAAAGCUUUCGGGUGAGUACUAGUGGCGCACGGGUAAGUAACGCGUGGAUAAUCUGCCUUGAAGAGGGGGAUAACCAGUCGAAAGAUUGGCUAAUACCGCAUAAGACCACAGGAACUGAGGUUCUAGAGGUCAAAGGUUUUUCGCAUCAAGAUGAGUCCGCGUAAGAUUAGCUAGUUGGUGAGGUAACGGCUCACCAAGUCGACGAUCUUUAACUGGUCUGAGAGGAUGAUCAGUCACACUGGAACUGAGACACGGUCCAGACUCCUACGGGAGGCAGCAGUAGGGAAUAUUGCACAAUGGAGGAAACACUGAUGCAGCGACGCCGCGUGAGUGAUGAAGGCCUUCGGGUCGUAAAGCUCUGUCGCAGGGGAAUAACACAAUGAAUGUACCCUGUAAGAAAGGAUCGGCUAACUUCGUGCCAGCCGCCGCGGUAAAAC
rnacentral:rRNA from 1 species